AGCAUCGGAACGUACCCUAGAGUGGGGGAUAACUAUCCGAAAGGAUAGCUAAUACCGCAUAUUCUAUGAGUAGGAAAGCGGGGGAUCUUCGGACCUCGCGCUCUAGGAGCGGCCGAUGUCAGAUUAGGUAGUUGGUGGGGUAAAGGCCUACCAAGCCGACGAUCUGUAGCGGGUCUGAGAGGAUGAUCCGCCACACUGGGACUGAGACACGGCCCAGACUCCUACGGGAGGCAGCAGUGGGGAAUUUUGGACAAUGGGGGCAACCCUGAUCCAGCCAUGCCGCGUGAGUGAAGAAGGCCUUCGGGUUGUAAAGCUCUUUCGGCCGGGAAGAAAUCGUGUGGGCUAAUACCCUGCAUGGAUGACGGUACCGGAAUAAGAAGCACCGGCUAACUACGUGCCAGCAGCCGCGGUAAUACGUAGGGUGCGAGCGUUAAUCGGAAUUACUGGGCGUAAAGCGUGCGCAGGCGGUUUUUUAAGACAGGCGUGAAAUCCCCGGGCUUAACCUGGGAACUGCGCUUGUGACUGGAAGGCUAGAGUACGGCAGAGGGGGGUGGAAUUCCACGUGUAGCAGUGAAAUGCGUAGAGAUGUGGAGGAACACCGAUGGCGAAGGCAGCCCCCUGGGCCGAUACUGACGCUCAUGCACGAAAGCGUGCAGUGAAAUGCGUAGAGAUGUGGAGGAACACCGAUGGCGAAGGCAGCCCCCUGGG
rnacentral:rRNA from 1 species